CCUGCAACAUUAGGUGCCUCGUGACAAUGAACAGUUAGUUUGUCACCUGCGCGUAUUAACCGGGCACCCGGCCUUGGGUUAUUGUGCCACCUGAAUGCUCUCUUGACAACAACCUGUGUGCCCGGGGCAGCGAGCACCAGCUCCAGCCGAAACCAACUCUGGAUAACUCAAGCCCCAAAAAAGUAACUUGUGGAACAUUCUGGAAGUUCAUGGAACACGAGGGCAAGCCGAAGCUCCAGGCGCUAUAAGGACCCACGCCCUUUGUGCCGUGACAGCUCUGGCAUAACCACGGUUCAUACUGGUAAUCAUCAGAGCACAUAGGACUGAGCCAAGAGCUUUGCAUGUAAUGACUCGUCCCAUCCCGUCAACAGCCCGGGAGGUCUAGCUCGAGUUCUCCUUCCUCUCUGAAGCCUCCCCUUGACAGCCCCAAGGAAUCACGCUUCCUCAAGAACUUCCUGGAGGGGAUGUCAAUCACUUGGACACAUGUCCGCCUGGAUAGCUAUUAGUGUUCCACGAACUUGCCCGACCUCUCGGCCCUCGGGGGUGAGGGUCCCGGUGUUACUCUUUUCUGACAUGCCCUGCCCACAACGGAUGCCCAUUCACUGUCUUGAUGAUGGCGAGGGCUUUCGGGGACAAUCCCUUCCGCCAUCUGUGCAGAAUAACACUGGCUAAUUCCCUCUCAAUGAGGAUAACAUCCAGACAGGGAAUUGCAUACCCUGCAACCCUCCACGUGGCCGGAGCUGAGAAAGUGCCUGACGGCCAUUCUCACCAGCAGACAUCAGAGCACAGAGGGAAGGAGUCAGUCCUGUGUCUGAGUCGCUCAUUCACUUAUUGACUGGAUGGCCUUGGACGAGUCACUUAAUCUCCCUCAGCCUCAGUUUCCUCAUCAGCAAAACGGGGCUAAUUUUACCUUCCAGCAUGCUAGUAAGGAUUAGACGGGACAAGAACGAUGAAGCUCAGGGCAGAAUGCUGGCACACAGUGAGCCUUCGGUGAGGGUCAGAGGUACAGCCCCUGCCCUCUGAGUGAAGAAAUCAAUUUUCCGCUAAGCUGUGAACACCAUACAUGCAAGGGACUCUCUACUGUGUUCAAGGUCAUGUUCCCAGUGCUUGGCACUGUGCUUGGCACAUAGACAGUAUACAAUAAACAUCUGUUGGGCGCCCGAGUAAACACGUCAAGCGGCCUGGGGAUGCUGCAGAUGUGGGUAGGGUGGUAAGGCAAGUCAGACACCUGCGUGGAUCCCAGGAAACCCAGCUAACAGAACUAACCAGUCUCUUCUUUGUUCGGUCUUUGUUUGGCCUCUGCCUUCCAAUUCAUGACUACUAACCCAGAAACCCGAGAAAGUCACUUAAAGUGCCCCAAGAAUGCAUUCGACAGAUGUUCUGCAAAGUCGGGUUAGCCGGGCCAACCUAAGGCAUCACCGGUGGCCGGCCGCCCCUGCCCAAGGGAUUCUCUGUGCCCCACAUAGAGGGAACAUUAGAAACAAGGAGGGAGCCUGGGGCUGGGCCAGGUGGGAGCUGGUCGGAGCCAGAUGUCCUGCCACCAAUAAAUCUUAACACUCUGA